rnacentral:rRNA from 1 species
CCUACGGGAGGCUGCAGUAAGGACUAUUGGUCAAUGGACGAAAGUCUGAACCAGCCAUCCCGCGUGCAGGAUGAAAGCCCUAUGGGUUGUAAACUGCUUUUAGCAGAGAAGAAAAGCUUUCAUUAAUGAGAGUCUGACGGUAUCUGCAGAAUAAGCACCGGCUAACUCCGUGCCAGCAGCCGCGGUAAUACGGAGGGUGCGAGCGUUAUCCGGAUUUACGGGGUUGAAGGCGUACUUAUAAGGCGGUUGAGAAAUCUUGUCGCUUAACGAUAAAAUUGCCAAUGAUACUGGUACUCUUGAAGUGGGUUGAGGUUAGCGGAAUGUGACAUGUAGCGGUGAAAUGCAUAGAUAUGUCAUGGAACACCAAUUGCGAAGGCAGCUAACUGGGCCUUGAUUGACGCUGAGGCACGAAAGCGUGGGUAGCGAACAGGAUUAGAUACCCGGGUAGUC